GAUGAACGCUGGCGGCGUGCCUAAUACAUGCAAGUCGAGCGAACAGACGAGGAGCUUGCUCCUCUGACGUUAGCGGCGGACGGGUGAGUAACACGUGGAUAACCUACCUAUAAUACUGGGAUAACUUCGGGAAACCGGAGCUAAUACCGUAUAAUAUAUUGAACCGCAUGGUUCAAUAGUGAAAGACGGUUUUGCUGUCACUUAUAGAUGGAUCCGCGCCGCAUUAGCUAGUUGGUAAGGUAACGGCUUACCAAGGCAACGAUGCGUAGCCGACCUGAGAGGGUGAUCGGCCACACUGGAACUGAGACACGGUCCAGACGCCUACGGGAGGCAGCAGUAGGGAAUCUUCCGCAAUGGGCGAAAGCUUGACGGAGCAACGCCGCGUGAGUGAUGAAGGUCUUCGGAUCGUAAAACUCUGUUAUUAGGGAAGAACAAAUGUGUAAGUAACUAUGCACGUCUUGACGGUACCUAAUCAGAAAGCCACGGCUAACUACGUG
rnacentral:rRNA from 1 species